ensembl:lncRNA
AUAGACACACACAACUCACAAUCUAUUAUACACACACACACACAAACUCACCACAUACCACGCACAGUACUGUUACAGAUUGAGAAACCCGUUGUUACUCUGAGAUAAAUAUCUAUUGACCUGACAAAUAAGUCAUUUUAUAGAAAGACUUCAAUAAUAUAUGGUUCGGUCUUAACCCAAAUGUAUGACAUAAGUAUUAUGUGAAACAUAUGUAGCUUGUGUAAUGCAAAAUAACAAUUCCUAAUACAUAUGGGCUGCAGGUAGCCUAGUGGUUAGAGUGGGGGAGGCAGGUAGCCUAGUGGUUAGAGUGGGGGAGGCAGGUAGCCUAGUGGUUAGAGUGGGGGAGGCAGGUAGCCUAGUGGUUAGAGUGGGGGAGGCAGGUAGCCUAGUGGUUAGAGUGGGGGAGGCAGGUAGCCUAGUGGUUAGAGUGGGGGAGGCAGGUAGCCUGGUGGUUAGAGUGUAGGGGCGGCAGGUAGCCUGGUGGUUAGAGUGUAGGGGCGGCAGGUAGACUGGUGGUUAGAGUGUAGGGGCGGCAGGGCAGCCUAGUGGUUAGAGUGUAGAGGGGGCAGGGCAGCCUAGUGGUUAGAGUGUAGAGGGGGCAGGGCAGCCUAGUGGUUAGAGUGUAGAGGGGGCAGGGCAGCCUAGUGGUUAGAGUGUAGAGGGGGCAGGGCAGCCUAGUGGUUAGAGUGUAGAGGGGGCAGGGCAGCCUAGUGGUUAGAGUGUGGGGGCGGCAGGUAGCCUAGUGGUUAGAGUGUUGGGCCAGUGACCUGAAAGUAGUUAGUAUAUAUACAGUAGUUAGUAUAUUCAGAUAGCUAGGUGAGACAACCACAUAUCACAGUAGUUAGUAUAUUCAGAUAUCUUCAGACCCAUCCCCAGUGCCCAGUCCACAGUCCUAUUCCCCAAUCCAUUACCUCAGCAGUACCAGUCAGUCCAUUACCUCAGCAGUACCAGUCAG